GACGAACGCUGGCGGCGUGCUUAACACAUGCAAGUGGAGCGACGAACCGGGCUUCGGCCCGGGGCGGAGCCGCGAACGGGUGAGUAACACGUGGGUUACCUGCCCCGAUGACUGGGACAACCCGGGGAAACCCGGGCUAAUACCGGAUGUGCCCUUCGGGGGAAAGGAAGCUUCGGCCUCCGCACCGGGAUGGGCCCGCGGCCCAUUAGCUUGUUGGUGGGGUAAUGGCCCCCCAAGGCUGCGAUGGGUAGCUGGUCUGAGAGGACGAUCAGCCACACUGGGACUGAGACACGGCCCAGACUCCUACGGGAGGCAGCAGUGGGGAAUCUUGCGCAAUGCGCGAAAGCGUGACGCAGCAACGCCGCGUGGGGGAAGACGGCCUUCGGGUUGCAAACCCCUUUCAGUUGGGACGAAGCUCCGCCGGUGAACAGCCGGCCGGAGUGACGGUACCUUCAGAAGAAGCCCCGGCUAACUACGUGCCAGCAGCCGCCGUAACAC
rnacentral:rRNA from 1 species